rnacentral:tRNA from 1 species
CUGGUGGUAGCUUAAUAUUAAAGCUCAGGAUUCUUACUCCUGUGAUGUUCCGGUUUGAACCCUUCAGG